rnacentral:rRNA from 1 species
AAUCAACGCUGGCGGCGUGCCUCAGACAUGCAAGUCGAACGCGAAAGUUCCCUUCGGGGGGCAAGUAGAGUGGCGCACGGGUGAGUAACACGUAGGUAAUCUACCUUUGGAUGGGGAAUAACAACCGGAAACGGUUGCUAAUACCGCAUAAUGCAGCGGCACCUAAUGGUGACAGUUGUUAAAGCGGGGGAUCGAAAGACCUCGCGUCUAAAGAGGAGCCUGCGGCGGAUUAGCUAGUUGGUAAGGUAACGGCUCACCCAAGGCGACGAUCCGUAGCCGGCCUGAGAGGGCGGUCGGCCACACCUGACACUGACAUACGGGUCAGGACUCCUACGGGAGGCAGCAGUCGGGAAUUUUUGGGCAAUGGGCGAAAGCCUGACCCAGCAACGCCGCGUGAAGGAU